rnacentral:lncRNA from 1 species
UGCAAAAUACAGUUGGGAAAUCAUAAGAACAAGGUAUAAGAAAAUACAGUAGAAGAAAACACAUAAGAAUCACAAUAGAACAUGUAAAAUCAGAGAUUCCCUAAGUCAUAGAAGAUGAAAGGUUUGAAAGUAAAAUUUGAAAGAAACUUUGGGAAAUUGUUUGAAACCUUAAAAUAAAUACAGAUUUAGAACAGAUCUAGAGAAAUCAGGAGAACCUCAAAAGACUAAGGUUUCAGAAGAACCCUAGAAGCGAGAAAGCCUGGAAAAGUCAUGAUGUAAGCCAGAAGAUACAACAAUUAGGCUCAAAAGACCAAGAGCCACCAGAGCAAGGCCGGAGAUGGCCAGGAUCUUCGAAUAUGUGAAGGUCUGAAUGAACAACCUCGAGGUCUGGCCUCGAUUCUUCCAACAACAGGCAUGCAGGAGCCAUAGGAAGCAAGUAUGGGCCUUCAAUGGUUUUGGAAGCCAUGGAUUCAGGCGGCUUUUAGGUGGUGAUGGUAGAAGGCGGCUAAGGUUUGAGGGGGAGUUGAGAGAGAACUAAGAUAGAAGGGAUUCAGAG